GUCUGUUAGAGAGAGGUUUCCACACCCUUAUAAGGAAUGUUUUUUUCUCCCUCUCCAAACGAUUUGGGAUCUCACAAUUCACCCCCUUGGGG